rnacentral:misc_RNA from 1 species
CUUUUUCUCUCUGAAUUCCUUCUUUCUUUCUACAUUCUAUCUCUCUCCCUCUGCUUGUUGAAGAUUUUUGAUAGAUAGGUACAUUUAUAGAGAGAGAGAGAGAGAGAGAGAGAGAGAGAGAGAUAUACCUGCAUACAGUGACAAUCAUCACUCUUGGAGAUGAGAGGACCUUUGGGGGCAGUGAUAGGGAGUUACCCAUCAAGUGAUGGAAGUACCCAAAUUGGUGGAAUCAUUAGGC